CCUACGGGCGGCAGCAGUGAGGAAUAUUGGUCAAUGGGCGAGAGCCUGACCCAGCCAAGUCGCGUGAGGGAGUACUGCCCUAUGGGUUGUAAACCUCUUUUGUCGGGGAGCAAAAGCCGGACGUGUCCGGCUGUGAGAGUACCCGAAGAAAAAGCAUCGGCUAACUCCGUGCCAGCAGCCGCGGUAAUACGGAGGAUGCGAGCGUUAUCCGUAUUUAUUGGGUUUAAAGGGUGCGCAGGCGGAUUUUUAAGUCAGCGGUAAAAUCGUGGGGCUCAACCCCAUCCAGCCGUUGAAACUGGGGAUCUAGAGUGUGCGAGAGGUAUGCGGAAUGCGUGGUGUAGCGGUGAAAUGCAUAGAUAUCACGCAGAACCCCGAUUGCGAAGGCAGCAUACCGGUGCACAACUGACGCUCAGGCACGAAAGCGUGGGUAUCGAACAGGAUUAGAUACCCUAGUAGUC
rnacentral:rRNA from 1 species